UGUGGCUUUACAACAUAUCUUUCAAUUCCAGUAUGAACACAUUCCUCUACUUAAACAAUAGUAUGCCAUAGUAGCAAAUAUAAAAUCAUGCUUGUGUCAAAAUAUAUUGAGGUAAAUUCACAUCAGUCGCAUAGAUGUCAAGGAAUUUCUUCACAAUUAAAGGUGGAUUGUUAAAUAGAAAAUGAGUACCGAAAUCCUAAGGAUACAAGUGUUCCAUCCAUAGUGCAAUUAAACUACUCCUUUACAGCUGGAAAUAUCUAAUUACAACUUUUUAUAAUACCAUUUUAAUAUUUCAAGAAUUUCGAUGAGAUGACUUAGUUGCCUUAAACAACGCUUCUCCUUCUUUAUAUUUUACAUCAUCUUAAAUUGGUUCCUUUCCUUUUAUGCUAGUUGGGAUAUUUUUAAAGAGUUCCUAUAUUGAAAAUGCUCAUAAAUGUCAUAUUUCCUAAUUAAAUUAAUCAAUCAUUUGCAAAGUAGGCAUGGCAUCAAAGAACAAACUGUAACGAACUUCAACAUCCCACGAUUUGUUCACAUGUAAUGCAUUAAUAACACGUUUUAAUAACCAUAUCAUCCUACUUGAAUUAGACACCUAAAAUUCUAAUUUCCUCCGAAUCCGUUCAGUAAGCUACUAAUCACUCUUUAAAAGCAAAGCUUAAUUAUUGUGAGCCUGUUUCAAUAUGCAUUUUAUGAAAGGAAAACAAAAGGAAGCGGAAUUGAUAGCUAAAUAAGUUUUAAAAUAUGGGAGAAACGGCAAUUCAUGAACUUGAUAUAAAGAAGGCUUAUGAAACUAAAUGUUGAGAUUUCCUUGAAUAUGUCAUGGAGAGGAUGAGAUUUUGGAGCCUAAAUACAUAGUUGGAUUUAAAGAUGUGUUAGGAUUUCAAUGGAAAGGGUUUAAAAUCAUAAUGUAGGAUCCCUUCCUUUAACUUAUUUAGGCCUUCAAUUGGUAGACAACCAAAUCUAGAAUCCUAACAAUAAAAAGUUUAAGAAAGGCAAUGAAAAGAAGGCAUCAACUUUUUAAAGAGAAGAGAUUCAUUUUUGUCAACAAAACCUCCUCCAACCUCCCAUUGUAUUGUAUAUCCCUUUUCUCCUCCUAUAUUUAAUGGCUAGUAUCUAGAGAAUGAACAAGACAAUACAAAGGGAGAAGCUUGAAUGCAUUCAAGAAGUAAAAAAGAGGAGUUAGGAUACAACUAAAGGAGAAUAGGGUGAUCAAGUAGCUCAUUUUCAGAGAUGAGAACACACAAGGAGUUCCCUUAUUCAUCCAAAGCACUUUUGAACAAGUCAUUACGGAAGGUUAAUUAUAAAAUAUCAAUUGUGGUGGUAUACUAAUGCUAAUUUGUAUAAUACAAAGCAUUGGAUUUUUGUACUAGGGUGAGUUUCCCAAGGGUGACAUCGGGGAAGUUUAUUUUAGAGCAAGAGGAUUUUUUUUCUCCUUUAUGCUUUUUGAGUCGAGGAAUGGGGAGUUAAUUUCAUUUGCACAUAAUAAAUAUGUGAUAAUCCCAUAUUUGGAGAGAUGGGAUCAUGCAAUUUAUUCCUUAUUCAUUGAACGCUCUUUUAAGUAGGUCAUUAUGAAAAAUCAUUCAAUAAGACAUCAAUGCUAGCUAUGUAUUAUUGCUUAUACAUUAGCUUUUUGAACUAAAAAUAUAUGCUCAUGCAGUGAAGUUAUGGCAGUCAAUUUCAAGGUGAGAAGUUUUCUUUUUCUCUCUUAUGCUUUUUGAAGCAAGAAGUUCCCUUUCAAUAUGACAAUUUGUGGAAACUUCCCUCUUUCUUGAACCUUCUUUUGUUGGAUAAAAAUAAAUAGAUUUCGGUUAGUUCAUGAUUGAAUCAGUAGAACAAAGAUACUACCAAGAUAGGAUAAUUGGCUAAACUUUCAAGAUUGACAUUUGGGACCUUAGUCAAUCUAUAAGGAGGAAUAAGCUAGCUAAAUGAUCGCCAACGCAUUUCAAGGAGAAUCAACGAGCUCUGGCUCCAGAUCAGAAAGAAAAUAUGGUGUUAAGUCUUUUUUUUAGGACAUCAAGCAACAAUUCGCAAUUUAAUGAGAAGCUUCAAUUCCAUGGAGAAGAAUUUGAAAGAUAAAAGGUUGUAUCUUAAAUAUCUUUGAUAUCAAGUCUUUUACUGUAAAUUAAGCAAUAAUUCCAAAUAUGUUGAUAAGCUUAAUUUUAAUUUUUCCACAUAAGCGAAUUUGGAAGAUAAAGGCUCCCUCUAAGGUAGUUUUCUUCAGAUGUAAUAUAGCAAAGGAGAGGCUAACAAUUUUCAAAAGGAAGUAAGAUAACAUAACGCCAUCAAAUCAAUGAGGCAUCUUUCAAUAUUAUUGGAAUUCAAUUAGAUAGUUACAAGAUGUUGCAUACUCAACGUUUGAGCAUUUCCCUCGUAGACAUGGAUGAUUAGGCAAAAUCAUUAGCUCGAAGAGAUUCUUUCGCACAUGAACAAAAGAGAAGCACUUAAAUUUUGAUCUUUCAAACGAGCGUCGAGCAAGGAAAUGGAAUUGAUAGGAUAGCUCUAAAAUGUUGCAUACUCAAUGUUUGAUAAUUUCUCUCAUAGACAUGGGUGAUUGUAGGCGGAAGAGCCUCUUUCGCAUUUGAGCAAAAGAGAAGCACUUAAAUUUUGAUCCUUCAAACUAGUGUCAAGGAAGGAAAGGAAUUCCUUCAAAAGGAAUUACGAGUCUCUUCCAUUCUUAGACAUACAAAAGUGUGAAUCAUAAUUUUGAUCUUUAGAUUUUGAAAUGGACUUCAUAGAUGAACAAACUGUUUUGGAUUUAUAGAUUUCUUUUUGCAUAGACAAGCUAGCUUUUGUAUGUGUUGGCAAUUGGUACUCCUUCCGUGUUGAUUACAACCUUGUUGAAAGAAGAAAAGCAAGCACAUGCUCAAUCCUUUGAGACAACCAUUUCCUUCUAAUCAAGCAAAGAAGCAUCUAAAGCUAAGUUAGAUGACAUAGCAUAUUCCAAGCAAGCAACAUGAACAGAUUUGCCUUUAUCACGCAAUAUACAAUGUACGUCAUCUCAACCUAAUCUUUUUCUUAAUUUUCCUUGUAUUGUUUACAGUAAUUCAUUCUAGCUUUACAAGCCAAUAACAUUAACUUGCAUGCUCAAGUUAUCUCGGUAAUUACUUGCCCUCUAUACCAAAGGCCUUUAAGGGAAUACAUGGUCGUAGUUACAAAGCACCAAAACAUUCCUUGAUUAAUCGUUUAGGAUCUUGGAAACAUUUCCAAUUCAUCUCCAAAAUGUUUCAGGUUUGUUUUUGUAAUUAAGGAAAAUCAGAAACCAAUUUCCUAUUUGAAAGGAGUUUCCUAGAAAAAAAUGGAAAUGGAAAAUCAACAUUAAGUAGACGUCCUUCAUGGAGUAUGUGUUAUUGUUAUGGAACUUGGGCACUUAUAUUUCAAGAGACUUGAUUCCUUAUUUGAUAUCCUUAGAAGUAUUUUUCUUUUAAUGAUUCGAUUCGUUUUUGUGCGAGAUAGGGCCUUAGCUUAGGAAUUGCAUAUGCAAUCUUAAAUUUAGCACAUUUUACAUGGAAGAUAAUAAUCUCCAUAAACGACCAUAGAUGUAAUGCUAACUUACCUUUUAUAUAGAGUUGCCACACUAUUACUAUCGUGGUAGUAUUUGAGUGGAUAUGUUUUGUCUUAAUUCUUAAGAGCAAUUUCUUUUGCCAUGUUUUGGAAAUUAUGUGAAGUUGAUUGAUGAGGCUAUAGGUUUCAAUUUUUGUAGUUCCUCUUUUUGCUUAUUUGGAUGGAUGUGUUUCGACUUAGUUUGUCAAAAGCAUUAUUUUUCUUUGCCAUGUUUAGGACUCCAAUAAAGUUGAUUUAUAAGGCUAUAGGUUUCUAUUUUCAUAGUUUCUUAUUUGCUCCUCCAAUACACCCCAUUUACUAGGUUCCCUUCAAAUAAAUAUAUUGUUUAAAUGUAGCAUGUUUAUAACAUGCCUACUUGGACCCUACGAAAAAUGUUUGACAUAUAGGAAAUGAUGACAAUUUAAGGUGCACUAAAGUGACGGAGGGUUCCAUUAAGGAUUAGAUGAUAAAACUAGCACCAUCAUCCUUGGAUACAGUAUAUCACGCCAUCAGGAAGCUAUGUUCUCUUUGGAGUUCUUCUUAUAAUAUCCUUUGUAACUAGACAAAUUACCAUUGAACUUCUUUAAUCAAUUAAGCUACAUGCCUAUUUAGGUCUUCAAUGAGAUAUUUCAGCAAGUCCAUCCUUGAAAGAACAUUGGCGUUCAUCUGAUAUUUAGAAGCUGAAUACCGAAUUUCCCAAUUUCAUAGCAAAAUAUUGAGAUGCCUCCCUCCAUUGAUGCACAUAAUUCCAAAGCGAUUGAAAACCAGUGGAAGUAAAGUUGGUGGUCGGUAUAUCUUAGGAGGUAUAAGGAUUGGCAAUUAGGAGUCACAAAUUGGCCUUUAGACUCCCAUCACUAGUUUGAAGUGUUUGAAGACCAUUGCUGGUGGAGUAAAGAAUCAAAAUCAGUCAUUUGCGAUUAAGUUUCAACUAAGAAUUGAAAGUUGAAAUUUCAAAAAAUUAAAGGUUUGAACCUCCCAAGGCCCAUCUCUAGCUGCCAACAGCUAAUAACUAACUACUACAACCAAUCGAAGAAAGCCUAAACUUAUUAAAGACUAUCGCCUAAACCUAUAAAAGACUCUACUCAAUAAAAUCAUGAGCUGGAUAAUAUUCUCAGAGAUAGAUUUCUUCCUAAAAUUGAACUCUUUAUGUCAAAAGACAUGUGCAUAGGCAAAGUGCUUUUUUCAUCAGAUUUUUUCAUCUUUAAUUCAAAAUACAUUACUUUCCUUUAAUUCACUCUAAAAUGAGACAUAACUCCUACAGAGUCUUUGUGUAAGAGUUUUUUGCAUGGCCACUGUUGAACCUGCAUAUAUCUAAUUAAUCACAAACAGAGCAUGAUCAAAAAGCAUAGGGUGCUCAGAAAUCAUUCAAACUGCUCAAACCAAAGGUAAUUGAGCUGAUUCGAACUGUAAACCGUGGUCUUUUACUAAAUGGUUAUUUGGUUUGGUUUGGAUAAAAGUAUAAAGCGCAAGUUUAGUCUGGUUUUAUUAAAUUUUUCAUAUAAUUAAUUAAUAUAUAUCUUUCACAAUAAAUUGACAUAAUUUUAGAAUUUCAUUAUAUUUUUAAUUUCUUUUAUAUAAUUAGAAAAUAAAAAAUGAAUAAAAAUUUGUUGUAAAUCAGAUCUAAAAUGAAAUAUAAAAAGUGAGUACAAAAACUGCUUAAACCUAUCAAACCGCCCAAACCAAACCUAAACUGCUUAUAUAUAACUUAGGUGGUCUGACUACUUUUCACGGUUUAAUUCUGUUCGAACUUUUUUAAGGGCACAUUUAUCGGUUUGGUUUGGACAUCCUAUUCAAACCGAACCAAACCAUAUACACCCUAAUAAAGAGCAUCGUCUCAGCCUCUAGAUAUCAAGGUUUAAUGAUCUCUGUGAUUCUAAAUAUAUUAUUUAUACCCACGCUACAAAGGAUAGCCAAAAAUCAAUCCCAUUCCUCAACAGAAUAAAAUUGCAGU
rnacentral:lncRNA from 1 species